rnacentral:lncRNA from 1 species
GAGUGCACGGUAUUCAGCGGGAUGAUUUCGUGAUCGCACCCCCCCAGCUGGUGGGUGCUUGCAUUGUUGCUGGGGCGGGCCUGACUGCCUGACUCCGGAGGGUCCUCUUCGAGGGGAGUAGUGAGAAUACAAGGUAUAUCAGGGAAAAAGGAAAAAGGAGAGGAAAGUGAACUAACAAAAAGUGAUCUGGGUGACCGCAGCGAUCUGCUUUCUAAUGUCUAAGUAGAUAUUUAAGAAGGAACAAAAGAAGACCUUUCCAACGGUGUAAUUUUCAGGUACAACGGUUGGCCGUACACCCCCCUUCUACUGGGAGCGUGCACCUGCCUAGUAAUAGUAUCAUAGUACUACAUUACUAUAUAUAGUACUAUUUCUUACUAUACUAUUCUUGCCAACCCUAAUAGUUAAACAUGCCCGAGUCAACUGACGAUGCGCGCCCAAGGAAGGUGCCCCGCAUCUCCCUCGGGAUUCGCGGCUUCGGCAAGCUCGAACCGCCUGUUUGCCAGCGAACUUGACGUUUUGCAGAAAGAGUUUUCAGUUAUGAAGUCUAAGAUGGCCUUGCAGUUGGAGCUGGGCCGCACCUCCUGGGAGCGGGCCUGGGCUGGAAUGCGUCAGUGGGUCCACUUCUUCCCACGCUUGAUUCAGUUGGUGUAUGUCGCUUGUGUCCUGCCCACUAAAACAGUGUCUGUUGAGCGUGGCUUCAGUGUCCACCGCAUUACCAAGAACAGGCUGCGUAACCGGCUGGCUGUCCCGUCCAUUGAUUCCCUUCUGCGUGUUGGAUUACUCGGUCCAACCGUGGACAUGAAAUGCCAACCCCUUGUCAUUUGAAGCUGCUGAGGAGUAUGUUGCAAAGAACCCGGAUGGGCUCCUGCACCGUAUUGCCAAGGUGGGCGACUGUGUUCUGCCUGAUGAGAGUGAUGAUGAGGGCAGUGUGGGCAGUGAAAUUGCUGAGGCCUACUAUCCUUCUGAUAACCGGGAGGUCGAGAGUGUGGCAAGUGAUGAGGUGUACCCGUCUGAGGAGACGGAUGAUGAUGUGGCAGGUGUGUUGGAGGCGAUUGCUGCAGAGGUGGAUGAUGAGGAACGGCGCCUCCUUGGCUUUGGAUAAAAUCCUUGCUGAAAUACUUCUCCCAGGAGCUAUGUUCCAAAAUAAAGUCAAACCCCUGUUAAUUCAGCCGUCCUAGCAUAUAACGAUAGAAUCCAGCAAAUUUGGCCCCGAAAACCGCUUCAGACAGUUUCGGGGUACCCGAAAACACUCUCCGGCUGACAGGAAAAUUUUCGGGGAGGGCCCCGAAAGGUCAAUCAGAGGGUUUCGGACACGGCCGAAAUUUUCGGGUACCCUGGUGAAGAACCCUUUAAGGAUCACUUAACGAUGUUAAGUUUUAUACAAUUUGCUUUAUGAUGCAAACAAGACAAGACUGCACAAGCACGUCACACCUGGCACAACAGCAAAACACCAUAACUGACAGCACUUUACAACCAACUAACUAACGUUAAUAAGGACCAACGGUUACGGAUGAACGGUCAAAUGGAAUUACUGGACUUCCCAGUAAUGGGCCUAUGCAAAAUAAUCUGGGAGGUACCUGGAUGGAUGCUGUCGGGGCCUGGGGUGGCCGGGCGCAAUGCGGUUUGGGGUUUUGCCUGGCAUGAUGCGGUUCGGGGGACAUGGCCUGGCAUGAUGCAGUUUGAAUGGCAUGGCAUUAUAUGAUUUGGGGACAUGGCCUGGCAUGAUGUGAUUGGGGGGGCAUGGCCUGGCAUGAUGUGUGGGACCUGUCAGGGUCGAAAAUCCCUCAGAUGGUGGACGGUAGAAGUGCUCCUAGUCGAUGGACGGUGGUGACCUGGGUUAAAGUUGACUUGCGAGCUGAUCAGGAAUGUUGAGCCGCCGUCGAUCCGGCAGAUUCCGUUGGAUGCCGGUGGCGGGUGCUCAACGUGAGCGAAGUUGGCUAGGGUGACUGGAUGAGGGUGCCCUGAAAUACCGGUGAAGGCAGGGUCUACCGGGUAGCGGCCACAGGGUGAAGAUAUGACCCCCUGUCCCGCACAUCAUCAUGUAUGGCAUGAUGUGCACAACGGUGUACAUGUGCAGGGUGGCAGUUGACAUGUCAUUGAACAUUGAUGAUGCACAGAGAGACUGAUCAGUUGUACUAGUGUUGCUACGUUUAGGAGAUGAACAUCUAGACUGAUGUUUAGCCUGAGUGGCAGGCAUGUUGGUUCGUAGGUAGAUCGACAUGGUGAACUGACUGAGUGACAGGGGUGACAGAUGUGCAUACGGGCUUGAUGAGUUACUAGUUUGCUGUAUCUACAUGCUUACCUUGAGAUCAAGACAGCCACUAUGAUCGCCAUCCACUUCGCCUACCUGACCGUUUAUUCAACUGAUAACCCAACUGACCGGUUAACGUGUCCAGCGGUCGGCAAAUAUGGCGGGUACUGCGUUUCCAUACCACAGAACCCGCAGCCGAAAUUCGGCUUAAGGCCCUGUAAGGCUGCGGAUCCCUAAUGACCAAAAUCUGACCAAAAGACGAGAGUUGCAGCCUCUAAAGUACUUGAACUCUGUGUUCGAUUUUGCAAUUCUUGUAGGGUUACUGACGGAAAUUAUGCCCUCCCGCAGCCGCAAAAAACAAUUUGCCGACCUCUGAACGUGCCUUUAACGAUCGCUAGUCAGUCGUUCAGUUUACGAACCCCAGGUAGGGAUGGCUAGGCUGGCUGGUUCGAAACGGUCGGUAACCGACGUGUUUAUGCCAUAGGGCUGGAAAGCGGUGCCCUUUCACAUCGCGCCGCACUCUUGAGAUGCGCACCAUGGGACAGAACAUGUUUUGGUGCAGUGCGACACGGCUGUCUCAGACCUGCCAAAAAGUUGCGAAGUGACCUAGCACGGAAGACACAACACUAAAUAGGAGGCCAGUCGGCUUUACACACUGCACAAUAACCAACCAACACAACCGCUGUGCAAUCCGAACGCAGGAAACUACGCUUCUGUGAAAACCGAUAAGGAGCCAGCCUAGCCAUCCCUAGGUAGCCAUCGUGCCGUCCAUCGCAACUUCGCCCGCAAGAGUUAGCUAAACCGCGCACGUUUGUCGUCCGGCCGACGGCCUUGGCACCCGUGCAGCCUCCACCCUCCAGCUACCUGUCAUGAACGCCCUGCAGAAGGUCAUCGAACGCCGCUUGGCGUACCAUAUCCAUAUCCUCCCUAUCUUACCAAUAGGAGGAGGCUCCACAGAGCAUGCGGAUCCAGGCAUUCUAUGCUAUUCUACGAGCACACGGCAAAAUCCGUACGGGCCAUAAACGUCAUGCUGUGUGGCUGUCUGCCAGGAUACCUCUCUGGGUUGCCUGACAGUUUUCUACGUGAAGCGUUGAAAACUAAGGUUUUCUGCGAAUACGGAGUGUCU